rnacentral:lncRNA from 1 species
CUUUAUGUUCCUUUUAUUGCAUCCAAACAGCUACAGGUAAUUAGUGUGACAGUCCUUUUGUUCAAACAAUUCUUAAUUGUCCUGAAAUUAUCUCCUUUUGUUUUCUGGUAAAAAGCUGCACUGUUUACUAUUUUAACCCAGAGAUUAACCCAUGUCCCAUGCAGAAUACUGGAGAGACUGGGAGAGCAGAUGGGAUGGAGUCACAGAACACCCAAAAAGACCAUAGGGUAAAAGAAACCAUGGAAAGUAAUCUGAAGAGGGAGAGGAGAUCAGGCCCCAUGAAAGGGACAUUAUGGUUUCCCUAUCUCAGCAACAAAGAGCGAGUUUUGCUUAGAAAAUGUGAAGCUUCAGAACUGCAGAGCGGAAGAAAACACUUCCUGUUUUCUCUUGACAUUGUGGUUGAACUUAGGACCUGCCUUUACUCCAGUGAUCAGAAGGCUUCAGAAACAACCUGGUGCUGUGGACUGAGCCCCACCAGCAGCCAAGCAACCACAUGCGCUCCAGUGGGACAAGAAAGAGAACAGGAAGAGCAGAUGUGAAGCAUCCCUCAUAUGAGGAUGGACUGAGAGAGGUGGGUAAACCUUAAAAUAGUCUUCCAAUAACUAAAGGGGACCUACAAGAG